UGAGCAAUCUGCCCUUCUCAUCGGAAUAAGCGUUGGAAACGACGUCUAAUGCCGAAUACGACCUCCUUUCGCAUGAUCGGAGGUGGAAAGCUCCGGCGGAGAAGGAUGAGCUCGCGGCCUAUCAGCUAGUUGGUGUGGGUAAUGGCCCACCAAGGCGACGACGGGUAGCCGGCCUGAGAGGGUGACCGACCACACUGGGACUGAGACACGGCCCAGACCUCCGUACGGGAGCAG
rnacentral:rRNA from 1 species